UCCAUGAUGAGUCAAACUAGCUCACUAUGACUUACACAAUGAAAAUAAGUGAACACCUGAGAAACUGGAGACAGCAGGAGUGGAGGGAUGCUAUGUGGAAGGGCCUUUUUUUAUUCAAUUUGAGGUAAAUGCCUUUAUAACCCUAUUAUUUGGUUGCUAUAAAUUGGGUGGGGGUGGGGGUGUUUGGUGGCACUUUGGUCUUGGUAGUUGUAAGAAGACAUUACUGGUUUACUCCAAAGUUCUGUCUGGCCAUUCUGAACCACUUGCAACAAGCUCCCCCUCACCAGUGAUGAAUUCAAUAC
rnacentral:lncRNA from 1 species